ensembl:lncRNA
CUGCCACACUGGGGACCUAGCUUCCAGCACAUGAAUCUUUGGGAGACAAACCACAUUCAAACCACUGUACCCUACGAUCUGUUAAAAAAUUACCCUUACAUGGUGAAUUAUUAAAGCAUUGUUCUUUUUAGGCCUUGUCAACCACCAUAAUGUUUUUAUAAGCACCCGGAAAGCAGCAUUCACUGUAUUUUUGGUUAUAUUUCAUAAGAAUACAAAAAAGGACUUCCAGAACUGCUUCAGAAAGUGUUAAGAAUGAAAUAAUUUCUCAGAUAACAGGAGAAAUUGUGCCCCUAGUGCAAGACACGAUUAAUAAAUCUAGAGAGGAGCUCAGGAACAUGAUGGAA